UGGCUAAUUUAGUAGAGCAUGGUGUUUGCAACGCCAGGGUUGUGGGAUCGAUUCCCAC
rnacentral:tRNA from 1 species